AGGAAAAGAAACUAACAAGGAUUCCCCUAGUAACGGCGAGCGAACAGGGAAGAGCUCAAAUUUGAAAUCUGGCGUCCUCCGGGCGUCCGAGUUGUAAUCUAUAGAGACGUUUUCCGUGCCGGACCGUGUCCAAGUUCCUUGGAACAGGAUAUCAAAGAGGGUGACAAUCCCGUACUUGACACGACGACCGGUGCUCUGUGAUACGUUUUCUACGAGUCGAGUUGUUUGGGAAUGCAGCUCAAAAUGGGUGGUGAGUUCCAUCUAAAGCUAAAUAUUGGCGAGAGACCGAUAGCGAACAAGUACCGUGAGGGAAAGAUGAAAAGCACUUUGGAAAGAGAGUUAAACAGUACGUGAAAUUGUUAAAAGGGAAACGAUUGAAGUCAGUCGUGUCUGGGAGGCUCAGCCGGUUCUGCCGGUGUAUUCCUCUCAGACGGGUCAACAUCAGUUUUGUCCGACGGAUAAUGGCGGCGGGAAAGUAGCACCUCCGGGUGUGUUAUAGCCCGCUGUCGCAUACGCCGGAUGAGACUGAGGCAUGCAGCUCGCCUUUAUGGCAGGGGUUCGCCCACUUUCGAGCUUAGGAUGUUGACGUAAUGGCUUUAAACGACCCG
rnacentral:rRNA from 1 species